GCGGAUGUAGCUCAGCUGGCUAGAGCAUCACCUUGCCAUGGUGAGGGUCGCGAGUUCGAAUCUCGUCAUCCGCUCCA
rnacentral:tRNA from 4 species